CAUGUACUCCCUCUGUCCGGAAUUACUUGUAGCGGAAAUGGAUAAAAGUGGAUGUAUCUAGAACUAAAAUACGUCUAGAUACAUCCAUUUCUUUGACAAGUAGUUCCGGACGGAGGGAGUAUAUA
rfam:Triticum aestivum genome assembly, contig: Triticum_aestivum_CS42_TGACv1_scaffold_002197_1AL